rnacentral:rRNA from 1 species
UACGAAGGGGGCUAGCGUUGCUCGGAAUCACUGGGCGUAAAGGGUGCGUAGGCGGGUCUUUUAAGUCAGGGGGUGAAAUCCUGGAGCUCAACUCCAGAACUGCCUUUGAUACUGAGGAUCUUGAGUUCGGGAGAGGUGAGUGGAACUGCGAGUGUAGAGGUGAAAUUCGUAGAUAUUCGCAAGAACACCCGUAGCGAAGGCGGCGCUCUGGGCCGGUACUGACGCUGAGGAGCGAAAGCGUGGGGAGCA